rnacentral:tRNA from 1 species
GAGAGAGGCUUGCUGCAACGAAGACUGCUAAUCUCCGCUACCUUGGUUAAAUUCCAAGGCUCACUCGACAUUACUU